CCUACGGGAGGCAGCAGUGAGGAAUAUUGGUCAAUGGACGAGAGUCUGAACCAGCCAAGUAGCGUGAAGGAUGACUGCCCUAUGGGUUGUAAACUUCUUUUAUAUGGGAAUAAAACGUUCCACGUGUGGGAUUUUGUAUGUACCAUAUGAAUAAGGAUCGGCUAACUCCGUGCCAGCAGCCGCGGUAAUACGGAGGAUCCGAGCGUUAUCCGGGUUUAUUGGGUUUAAAGGGAGCGUAGGUGGAUUGUUAAGUCAGUUCUGCAAGUUUGCGGCUCAACCGUAAAAUUGCCGUUGGAACUGGCGUUCUUGAGUGAGCGAGAAGUAUGCGGAAUGCGUGGUGUAGCGGUGAAAUGCAUAGAUAUCACGCAGAACUCCGAUUGCGAAGGCAGCAUACCGGCGCUCAACUGACGCUCAUGCACGAAAGCGUGGGUAUCGAACAGGAUUAGAUAGUAGUC
rnacentral:rRNA from 1 species